GUGCUCGCUUCGGCAGCACAUAUACUAAAAUUGGAACGAUACAGAGAGGAUUAACAUGGCCCCACGCAAGGAUAAACUUAGCAGUCUUCCUAUUCCAUGUUUAA
ensembl:snRNA U6 U6 spliceosomal RNA